rnacentral:rRNA from 1 species
CUCUUUCGUCGGGGAAGAAAAUGACUGUACCCGAAUAAGAAGGUCCGGCUAACUUCGUGCCAGCAGCCGCGGUAAUACGAAGGGACCUAGCGUAGUUCGGAAUUACUGGGCUUAAAGAGUUCGUAGGUGGUUGAAAAAGUUGGUGGUGAAAUCCCAGAGCUUAACUCUGGAACUGCCAUCAAAACUUUUCAGCUAGAGUAUGAUAGAGGAAAGCAGAAUUUCUAGUGUAGAGGUGAAAUUCGUAGAUAUUAGAAAGAAUACCAAUUGCGAAGGCAGCUUUCUGGAUCAUUACUGACACUGAGGAACGAAAGCAUGGGUAGCGAAGAGGAUUAGAUACCCUCGUAGUCCAUGCCGUAAACGAUGUGUGUUAGACGUUGGAAAUUUAUUUUCAGUGUCGCAGCGAAAGCGAUAAACACACCGCCUGGGGAGUACGACCGCAAGGUUAAAACUCAAAUGAAUUGACGGGGACCCGCACAAGUAGUGGAGCAUGUGGUUUAAUUCGAAGAUACGCGCAGAACCUUACCAACACUUGACAUGUUCGUCGCGACUCUAAGAGAUUAGAGUUUUCGGUUCGGCCGGACGAAACACAGGUGCUGCAUGGCUGUCGUCAGCUCGUGUCGUGAGAUGUUGGGUUAAGUCCCGCAACGAGCGCAACCCUCACUUUUAGUUGCCAUCAUUAAGUUGGGCACUCUGAAAGAACUGCCAGUGAUAAGCUGGAGGAAGGUGGGGAUGACGUCAAGUCCUCAUGGCCCUUACGUGUUGGGCUACACACGUGCUACAAUGGUAUCUACAACAGGAAGCAAGACUGCGAAGUUAAGCAAAUCCCUAAAAGAUACCUCAGUUCGGAUUGCACUCUGCAACUCGAGUGCAUGAAGCUGGAAUUACUAGUAAUCGUGGAUCAGCGUGCCACGGUGAAUGCGUUCCCGGGUCUUGUACACACCGCCCGUCACACCAUGGGAGUUGGUUCUACCUUAAGGCAAGGUUUUAAACCCUUGACCACGGUAUAGUCAGCGACUGGGGUGAAGUCGUAACAAGGUAGCCGUAGGGGAACCUGCGGCUG